GAACAUCCUCGUCCCCAGGCCCAAGCUCGGGCGGCCCUCACAGUGGCCCUGGGUCAGGCUGUUGAGCAGUUGAUUGUGAUUGGUUCUUUUGCUCUAAAGGAAUGUUGCGGGUGGAAAGGAAAUGCGGGUUAACAAUAAACAAUGGCUGGCUCGAAGAGUGGCAAUUCAAUAAACUUGUAUUAAAUUAUGGUAGAAAUCAGAUAUUUACAUGUAAAUUUUUGCUUAAACUAUGGUAUGGACACAUUCAAGACUUCUGGAAACAAACUACAUGGAUAUUUGAAGGAUUAAAACAUCUGAAAGUUGAAACGAAUUGAAUGAUAAAGAUAUAUAUUUUACAGUUCAAGACUCAGAUAUCAGUCACGGUCCUACUAAAGAAAGACUAUAGAAAUUUAUCUUGUGUAUGCAACGUCUACAAGAUUGUGUAAAUUCGUCUACAAGAUUAUUGUGUAAAUUGUCGCCCUCCACCUAUCUGUCUGCGUCAACGCAAGUUUAUACAUUGUAUUCGACAAUUUGAAUAGUUUAUAAAUUUAUAAUGUAAUCUACGAAAAUUUAGUAUUUAUCAAAUACUUGAUUCACAAAGUGAAUGGCAGCAUUUUGUUCUGCUUGCCAAUCACAAUGAACAGUUCACAAUGGUCAAUGGAUCCAGUGUUGUUUGAAAACCACAAGCUCAAUUGUUAUUAACCCAAGGUGAAAAGCUGGCUUUUCACACACAAAAUAUUGAAGGGAUUUUCUAGAUGGAAUUAAAUUAUUUAUUCAAACUAUUGAACUAUUGAAGCAAAUUUAGAGAAUACAGCAUAUUAAUAAUUUAACCAGACAACCAGUUAUGUGUCAAGUCUAAAGACGGAUUUCCAGUGCUUGCAUCUAAUUAAAAUUAACAGUUCAGCAUUGUGAUUGGAUGAAAGUGCUCAUGCAUUGCAGCGAGCUGCUUCGUGAGAGGACUGGAAAUCUGCCUUAAGAAGCAUUUUAGCUACCUGUUGCUAAAGUUCAUUUAUAAACACUGUCACUGAAAUAUUUAUUAACAAAUACACCCUUCUGGAAAGUACAUUAGGGAUGGAUUUACUGGGGGGGUGCACCCCCCUAGCCAUGGCCAGGGGGUGCUAUUUUUCAUGAUAAAGCAAAACUUAUUAGAGACAAAAUGAGAUUCAGUAAUUUGAGUAAUAACAUGAUGAUAAGCGAACUGUGAACAACAAUUACAAUUCAAAUACUGUAGUCAAGCAAGACUUUGCAGUAGUGGAACAAGUUGAUAGAUGGGUAAGGUCACUGGAAACCAAUUGCAACGUAAUCGUUCGGAAAUUUUUUUUGCCUAAAAAGUUGUCUACGGGGGGGGGGGGUGGAAAGGUCAUUGCUCUCUGCGAAAAAAUUUUUUCCCCCCAAAAUGUUUUAAAUAGAAGUCCCUAAAAAAAGUUGCACCCCCCUUACCAGAUCAUGCUGGAUCCAUCCCUGAAGUAUACAUCACUUUGACUAUUCUGGUUUUGUAGUAUGACAUAUCCUCUUAUAGGAAUUCCUAUAAGAAAAUUAUCCUACUUUCCUGUAGGAAUAGUAAAUGACACACAAUGUUCUUCAUCAGUCAUCGCUCUUAAUUUUUUAAUGCAAAAAAAUAUAUACGAUUAUUAAUAAAUAUACACUAAUAUUACAAAUAUAAAUAUUUAUACAAGAAAUUGGUUACACUAAACAUUGCAGACCAGUUAUAGUUUUCACCAAUGGUUUAAUAACAAGUCAAAACAAAAACAUAACCUAAAGAAAACCAUUGCAGUGUACACAAGCACCAAUUAAUCAUUCUACCUCCAUGCAAUGCCAUAUUUAUUGACCUUUGUUAUUAAACCAUCCAGGUAAUAACUAUAAUUGACAUGUAAAGUUAAUUACAUUAACCCAUUAAUUUAAUCGUAUGGCAUUAGACAAGUAAAAAAUAAGUAGGCAGCACUGGGGCACAUUGCAGCUCAAUGGGUUAACUAGAGACAUUGUAAGAUUUUUUGUUAAC